GACGAACGCUGGCGGCGUGCUUAACACAUGCAAGUCGAACGGUAAGGCUCCAGCUUGCUGGGGUACACGAGUGGCGAACGGGUGAGUAACACGUGGGUGACCUGCCCUGCACUUCGGGAUAAGCCUGGGAAACUGGGUCUAAUACCGGAUAGGACCGCACCGUGAGGGUGUGGUGGAAAGUUUUUUCGGUGUGGGAUGGGCCCGCGGCCUAUCAGCUUGUUGGUGGGGUAAUGGCCUACCAAGGCGGCGACGGGUAGCCGGCCUGAGAGGGUGGACGGCCACAUUGGGACUGAGACACGGCCCAGACUCCUACGGGAGGCAGCAGUGGGGAAUAUUGCACAAUGGGCGGAAGCCUGAUGCAGCGACGCCGCGUGGGGGAUGACGGCCUUCGGGUUGUAAACUCCUUUCACCAUCGACGAAGGGUUUCUGACGGUAGAUGGAGAAGAAGCACCGGCUAACUACGUGCCAGCAGCCGCGGUAAUACGUAGGGUGCGAGCGUUGUCCGGAAUUCUGGGCGUAAAGAGCUCGUAGGUGGUUUGUCCGUGCCUGUGAAAUCCGGGGCUUACUUCGGGCGUGCAGGCGAUACGGGCUAACUUGAGUACUGUAGGGGGAGAAUGGAAUUC
rnacentral:rRNA from 1 species